AUUGAACGCUGGCGGCAUGCCUAACACAUGCAAGUCGAGCGGAGCUGCGGGCGGGUGGGUAAUGCCUACGAAUCUGCCUGGUAUUGGGGGAUAACGUCAGGAAGCGGGCGCUAAUACCGCAUACUAUCAGAUGAGCCUAGGUGGGAUUAGCUAGUUGGUGGGGUAAAGGCCUAACAAGGCGACGAUCCGUAACUGGUCUGAGAGGAUGAUCAGUCACACUGGAACUGAGACACGGUCCAGACUCCUACGGGAGGCAGCAGUGGGGAAUAUUGGACAAUGGGCGAAAGCCUGAUCCAGCCAUGCCGCGUGUGUGAAGAAGGUCUUCGGAUUGUAAAGCACUUUAAGUUGGGAGGCGUUACCAACAGAAUAAGCACCGGCUAACUUCGUGCCAGCAGCCGCGGUAAUAC
rnacentral:rRNA from 1 species